rnacentral:misc_RNA from 1 species
CGCACAUUGCGCCCUCUGGUAUUCCGGGGGGCAUGCCUGUUCGAGCGUCAUUACACCACUCAAGCCUAGCUUGGUAUUGGGAGUUUCUUGUGGAUGUAACAAUCUGCACUCCUAGAAUUCUUCCGGCUGGUACUAAUCAAAACCCUUGCGUUGUGGAAACAUUUUUCGCUUGUCUGGUUUCGAUUCGGUAGUCUUUCGCCGUUAAAAUCAUUUUUCUAAGGUUGACCUCGGAUCAGGUAGGGAUACCCGCUGAACUUAA